rnacentral:rRNA from 1 species
UACGUAGGGUGCAAGCGUUAAUCGGAAUUACUGGGCGUAAAGCGUGCGCAGGCGGUGAUGUAAGACAGGUGUGAAAUCCCCGGGCUUAACCUGGGAACUGCAUUUGUGACUGCAUCGCUGGAGUGCGGCAGAGGGGGAUGGAAUUCCGCGUGUAGCAGUGAAAUGCGUAGCUAUGCGGAGGAACACCGAUGGCGAAGGCAAUCCCCUGGGCCUGCACUGACGCUCAUGCACGAAAGCGUGGGGAGCAAACAGG